GGCCUACGGGACGCAGCAGUGGGGAAUAUUGCACAAUGGGGGGAACCCUGAUGCAGCGACGCCGCGUGAGUGAAGAAGUAUUUCGGUGUGUAAAGCUCUAUCAGCAGGGAAGAAAGAAAUGACGGUACCUGACUAAGAAGCCCCGGCUAACUACGUGCCAGCAGCCGCGGUAAUACGUAGGGGGCAAGCGUUAUCCGGAUUUACUGGGUGUAAAGGGAGCGUAGACGGCGAUGCAAGUCUGAAGUGAAAGGCGGGGGCCCAACCCCCGGACUGCUUUGGAAACUGUAUAGCUGGAGUGCAGGAGG
rnacentral:rRNA from 1 species